rnacentral:tRNA from 1 species
AAGACAUUAGUAAAAUAUGGAAUUACACCACCUUGUCGAGGUGAAAUCGCAGGUUAGACCCCUGUAUGUCUUA